rnacentral:misc_RNA from 1 species
CUGAUUAUUGAAUUCUCGGUCGAUCUUUAACCAGAUCCCGACGAAAUCAAUUCAACCCCUUGUGCACCAAAUCGUAUUUUGGGUAUUUGAUUUAAACGUCAAGUGCCCAGCUUAUUAAACUAUAUAAUUUUUUUUGUCUUAAAUCUAGUAAAAUAGAAA